rnacentral:tRNA from 1 species
GCGGAAAUAGCUCAGCGAUAGAGCGCUUCCUUGCCAAGGAAGAGGUCGCGGGUUUGAUCCCCGUUUUCCGCU